GACGAACGCUGGCGGCGCGCUUAACACAUGCAAGUCGAGCGAAGCGGCGGACGGGGGAGUAACACGUGAGUAACCUGCCUUAGACAUUGGGAUAGCCUCGGGAAACCGGGAAUAAUACCAAAUGGUCUAAGAUGGACUCGCGUCCCAUUAGCUGGUUGGGAGGUAACGGCCCACCAGGGCGACGAUGGGUAGCCGGCCUGAGAGGGUGAACGGCGACAUUGGAACUGAGAAACGGUCCAAACUCUACGGGAGGCGGCAGUGGGGAAUAUUGCACAAUGGAGGGAACGCUGAGGCAGCGAGGCCGCGUGAACGAAUAAGGCUUUCGAGUAGUAAAGUUCUUUUAUAUGGGAAGCGGUACCAUAAGAAAAAGCCCCGGCUAACUACGUGCCAGCAGCCGCGGUAAUUC
rnacentral:rRNA from 1 species